AUUGAAGGCUGGCGGCAGGACUAACACAUGCAAGUCGAACGAGUGGCGGACGGGUGAGUAAUGUCUGGGAAACUGCCUGAUGGAGGGGGAUAACUAGUGGAAACGGUAACUAAUACCGCAUACCUUCGCGUGUGCCCAGAUGGGAUUAGCUAGUCGGUGGGGUAACGGCUCCGCUAGGCGACGAUCCCUAGCUGGUCUGAGAGGAUGAUUGGCCACACUGGAACUGAGACACGGUCCAGACUCCUACGGGAGGCAGCAGUUGGGAAUAUUGCACAAUGGGCGCAAGCCUGAUGCAGCCAUGCCGCGUGUAUGAAGAAGGCCUUCGGGUUGUAAAGUACUUUCAGCGGGGAGGCGUUACCCGCAGAAGAAGCACCGGCUAACUCCGUGCCAGCCGCCGCGGUAAUAC
rnacentral:rRNA from 1 species